AGUAGAAUUUCAAUAGGCAAAGGAGAAAUCCACUUUUAGUUAUAAGUGAGACGAAAUUUGGCCAAAGAACGUCAAACACAGUGCGGAUGAUGUGUUCGGGCCCCAGCGUGCUGUGGGUGGGAGGUGCACGGCUGAAGAAAACUCCACUUUCCAGCCCCCUUGUGAGUUCCGGUGGCGAUUCGGCCGAGCUCGAGACAGCGAUAAGAAAGGGAGUUUUGGGCUGAAGUUUCCAAAAAGCUCCGCUGAUGUCAGCGGGAUGCAGGCUCACUGCCCACAACACCAGGACUCGGUCCACUUCAAGAGCACAAUUUCUCUGACAUCAUAUGUUUUAUUAAAAAUUCUUGCAAAUUGU